UUCUUGUCAGUGGCUAUUCCCACCUGCAAUUUUCCCUUGACAAAUUGCUCCAAGACAGGUACUUCCUAAGGGGACGCUUUCUCCAUUAGUGAGACAGUAGGGGAAAUGGAGGGGCAAACCUUGACCCACCAUUACCAAGAAAUCAAUGGUGGAAGUGAGUCAUCUAUCUCUCGUCGCUGGGCUGGACUUGAUGAUUAAUGGGAGAUAUUUAAGAUUAAUACACUUUCUUGUUUAAGUUUUGAAAAUUAAAGAUCUUAGAAAUGUGAGCCCAGAGAAUAAAGAAAAAAGAAGGAAGUAGAACAAUAUUCUCUUUCUAGUUACCUGCUUUCAAGAACUCAAUCCCUUUAGGCCAGCAUUUAGAGAAUUGCCUGUCCCCAGCCAGGUCAUCUUGCUUUACUUUUCUCCCUCCUCACCUCCAAAGGGACGUUAGUUCCAGCCAAAGUGCUUAUCAUAGAUCCUCAGCACAAACAGUUUCCAAGUUACCAAUGCUCUGCUUCCUGGGAGUUUAUUUAUUUCCUGCCACAAUGCUUACAUCAUAAAGACUAUAACUCAUUGUACUGGUUUAUUUUUUUUCUGCAUAACAAAUGACCACAGACUUAGCAACUUAAAACAACACACAUUUAUUAUCUCACAGUUUCUGCGGGGCAGGAGUCUGAAGAUGGCCUAGCUGAGUCCUCUGCUCAGAGUCUCACAAGGGUGCUAUCAAGAUGUUGGCUGGCUGCAUUUCUUUCUGGGUCUU
rnacentral:lncRNA from 1 species